GACUGAGAGGGAGGCAGAGAGACGGGGCAAUUGACUAUUGCUAACAAGUUAGCCUUGAUGGAGGAGUAAUCAAUUAUCUGCAGCAGCACUUCUCUUUCUCUUUCCUUUCUUUCUCUCCUCUUCUGUGUUCUCUCUCUCCCUCCCUCCCUCCCUCUCUCUCCGCUGCUCCCCCCGUCUCUCUCCUUCUCUCCCACUCCCUCGCCCUCUGUUUCACUCUCUCUCUGUCCAAUGCAGGCGGCUCUAAGUUGGGAAGCUCAUUAAUUAGCGGGCCGGGGGUAGGAGGAGCCGGCUGGAAUUAGCCUGCCUAAUGCGCCUGUCAGUCCGGGCGCUGAGCCGCGCUCGGCCCGAGAUGUUUGUAAAUUACAUUAGCAGCGCCUUUAUUGCACUCGAACCUCGGAUUACUGAAAAGCCACCGCCCCCCCACCCCAAACUGAGAGCCGUUCUCCCGGUUCACCCGCCUCCCGCCCGCCUGGCAGCACCAGCCCAGCGGUCUCAGACUCUCCGACCCGGGAUGUAGAGCUCAAGAAGGGUGGCGGGAACUUCAGCCGGGGAGGGACCCGGCAGCCGUGCGGGCCAGCCAAUAGGGUGCCAGGCAUUGGAAGCCUUCCUUCCAGUUCUCACCGUGCCUCCAUUUGCUGAAGAAGAAAUCCAGGUUACGGUUGUAUCACGCUGGUCAACACGUCAGGAGGACCCGGCCGCAGCCCUGAGGCAGCCUGUCCAGCUCACAGUCCACCUCUUAGGGAUCCCAUGACUGGAAAGAGACAGAAAGUCUCUCAGGCCUCCUUCCUGGAAGCUGACCUGGAGCUGGAUUCCCAAAUAAACAGUAACUA